rnacentral:rRNA from 1 species
AUUGAACGCUGGCGGCAUGCCUUACACAUGCAAGUCGAACGGUAACAGGUCUUCGGAUGCUGACGAGUGGCGCACGGGUGAGUAAUACAUCGGAACGUGCCCGAUCGUGGGGGAUAACGAGGCGAAAGCUUUGCUAAUACCGCAUACGAUCUACGGAUGAAAGCGGGGGAUCUUCGGACCUCGCGCGGACGGAGCGGCCGAUGGCAGAUUAGGUAGUUGGUGGGAUAAAAGCUUACCAAGCCGACGAUCUGUAGCUGGUCUGAGAGGAUGAUCAGCCACACUGGGACUGAGACACGGCCCAGACUCCUACGGGAGGCAGCAGUGGGGAAUUUUGGACAAUGGGCGAAAGCCUGAUCCAGCCAUGCCGCGUGCAGGAUGAAGGCCUUCGGGUUGUAAACUGCUUUUGUACGGAACGAAAAGCCUCUUUCUAAUAAAGAGGGGUCAUGACGGUACCGUAAGAAUAAGCACCGGCUAACUACGUG